GAAUAUUGGACAAUGGGCGCAAGCCUGAUCCAGCAACGCCGCGUGGAGGAUGAAGGUCUUCGGAUCGUAAACUCCUGUCAGAGGGGACGAAGGUCGCGGGGUGAACAAUCCCGAGGCUUGACGGUACCCUCAGAGGAAGCCCCGGCUAACUCCGUGCCAGCAGCCGCGGUAAUACGGAGGGGGCGAGCGUUAUUCGGAAUUAUUGGGCGUAAAGGGCGCGUAGGCGGCUUGAUAAGUCAAAGGUGAAAUCCCUCGGCUCAACUGAGGAACUGCCUUUGAAACUGUCAGGCUUGUGGCCGGGAGGGGGUAGCGGAAUUCCCAGUGUAGCGGUGAAAUGCGUAGAUACUGGGAGGAACACCGGUGGCGAAGGCGGCUACCUGGACCGGUUCUGACGCUGAUGCGCGAAAGCGUGGGUAGCAAACAGG
rnacentral:rRNA from 1 species